AGUGGUGAAUCCCAGAGCUUAACUCUGGAACUGCCAUUAAAACUUUUCAGCUAGAGUAUGAUAGAGGAAAGCAGAAUUUCUAGUGUAGAGGUGAAAUUCGUAGAUAUUAGAAAGAAUACCAAUUGCGAAGGCAGCUUUCUGGAUCAUUACUGACACUGAGGAACGAAAGCAUGGGUAGCGAAGAGGAUUAGAUACCCUCGUAGUCCAUGCCGUAAACGAUGUGUGUUAGACGUUGGAAAUUUAUUUUCAGUGUCGCAGCGAAAGCGAUAAACACACCGCCUGGGGAGUACGACCGCAAGGUUAAAACUCAAAUGAAUUGACGGGGACCCGCACAAGUAGUGGAGCAUGUGGUUUAAUUCGAAGAUACGCGCAGAACCUUACCAACACUUGACAUGUUCGUCGCGACUCUAAGAGAUUAGAGUUUUCGGUUCGGCCGGACGAAACACAGGUGCUGCAUGGCUGUCGUCAGCUCGUGUCGUGAGAUGUUGGGUUAAGUCCCGCAACGAGCGCAACCCUCACUUUUAGUUGCCAUCAUUAAGUUGGGCACUCUGAAAGAACUGCCAGUGAUAAGCUGGAGGAAGGUGGGGAUGACGUCAAGUCCUCAUGGCCCUUACGUGUUGGGCUACACACGUGCUACAAUGGUAUCUACAACAGGAAGCAAGACUGCGAGGUCAAGCAAAUCCUUAAAAGAUACCUCAGUUCGGAUUGCACUCUGCAACUCGAGUGCAUGAAGCUGGAAUUACUAGUAAUCGUGGAUCAGCGUGCCACGGUGAAUGCGUUCCCGGGUCUUGUACACACCGCCCGUCACACCAUGGGAGUUGGUUCUACCUUAAGGCAAGGUUUAAAACCCUUGACCACGGUAUAGUCAG
rnacentral:rRNA from 1 species